rnacentral:rRNA from 1 species
UACGGGGGGAGCAAGCGUUGUUCGGAUUUACUGGGCGUAAAGGGCGCGUAGGCGGUCAGCACAAGUCAGUUGUGAAAUCUCCGGGCUUAACUCGGAAAGGUCAACUGAUACUGUGCGACUAGAGUGCAGAAGGGGCAACUGGAAUUCUCGGUGUAGCGGUGAAAUGCGUAGAUAUCGAGAGGAACACCUGCGGCGAAGGCGGGUUGCUGGGCUGACACUGACGCUGAGGCGCGAAAGCUAGGGGAGCAAACGGG